UUAUGGCUCAGGAUGAACGCUGGCGGCGUGCUUAACACGUGCAAGUCGAACGGAGCUUAGAAGGAAGCUUGCUUUCAUUUAAGCUAGUGGCGGACGGGUGAGUAACGCGUGAGCAACCUGCCCUCGAGUGGGGAAUAACAUCGAGAAAUCGGUGCUAAUACCGCAUAAUGUCGAGAGACCGCAUGAUCUUUCGACCAAAGGAUUUAUUCGCUUAGAGGAUGGGCUCGCGUCCGAUUAGCUAGUUGGUGAGGUAACGGCCCACCAAGGCUUCGAUCGGUAGCCGAACUGAGAGGUUGAUCGGCCACAUUGGGACUGAGACACGGCCCAGACUCCUGCGGGAGGCAGCAGUGGGGAAUAUUGGGCAAUGGGCGAAAGCCCUGACCCAGCAACGCCGCGUGAAGGAUGAAGGUCUUCGGAUUGUAAACUUCUUUGAUUGGGGAAGAAUAAAUGACCUACCCAAAGAACAAGCCACGGCUAACUACGUGCCAGCCGCUGC
rnacentral:rRNA from 1 species